rnacentral:rRNA from 1 species
CCCUUAGAUGUUCUGGGCCGCACGCGCGCUACACUGAUGCAUUCAACGAGCCUAUCCUUGACCGACAGGUCCGGGUAAUCUUUGAAUCUGCAUCGUGACGGGGAUAGAUUAUUGCAAUUAUUAAUCUUCAACGAGGAAUGCCUAGUAGGCGCAAGUCAUCAGCUUGCGUCGAUUACGUCCCUGCCCUUUGUACACACCGCCCGUCGCUCCUACCGAUUGGGUGUGCUGGUGAAAUGUUCGGAUCGGCCGUUUGUCGCGGUUUCCGCGGCUCGUGGCUGAGAAGUUCAUUAAACCCUCUCACCUAGAGGAAGGAGAAGUCGUAACA